rnacentral:lncRNA from 1 species
UCUGUAGACCAGGCUGGCCUUGAAUUCACAGGGAUCCACCUGCCUCUGCCUCCCGCUUGCUGGAAUUAAAGGUGUGUGCCACUGCCCAGCAAUUUUUUAUUUAAUUUUCUAAAAGCUUUAUUUUGUAUUUAUGUAUUAUAUUCACAUCAUUUCCAGCCCUCCAACCUCUAGCUCCUCCCACUUCCUCCUAAAUUCAUUGCCUCUUCUUUAAUUAUCAUCAGUGUGUGCGCUCGCGCAUAUUGUUGGGGAUAAAACCCAGGGUCUCCACGUGUGAAGCAAGAACUCUGCCACAAAGCUGCACCCGAGCUCACAUUUGGCCUUCUGAACCCAAGGUGCUCCAUAUCUGUGGAUUCAAAGCUCUACAGCUGAGAACUAUUCUGGGAAAGGCAUUUGUGUGUGCCUAGAAUCCCAGAAUUUAGGGGUUGGGGAUAGGAGGAUUGAGUUUGAGUUCAGCCUGGGCUUUAUUAGCCCCUACCCUAUCUUCAUAAAAAGAGAAAGGGGAGGGGUGGCAAGGGAGGGCAGAGAAAAGUAUUCAAGAAACCAUUGAAUCUGUACUGUUAAUAUACAGACUCUUUUCUCUCUCCCUAAACAACACACUGUAGUAACAACCCAUGGAACAUUUGCACUGCAUUUAGUGUCAAAAGUAAUUCACACAGGAAGGGGAAGUGCACGGAGGAAAGUAUGACUGGGGAGAGGAAUGGGGACGCGGAACCAGAUGAGUUUCCCAGAAAGAGGAUGAGGUAACCAUGUGCUGCAACAGCCACACGUGCUGUAUGUAACAGCCACACAUGGGAGGCUGGGGCAGAGGUCCCUGGCGGAUUGCCAGAGGGAAACUGGCAGUACUUGGACGUUUUUAUUUUUCCUGUUUCACGGUGCCUGCUACAGUGGCACUCAACAUGUGAUUAUUAGAGUAAUACAUGGCUGUCGUUUUCCUACCCAGGUGUCUUUGGACUCCCCCGAUGCCCAGGAGAGAGUUCUCACAUCUGCGACUUCAUCAGGAAGUCACUUAAUGCCGGUGCUUACUCCAAACUUGUGCAAGAACGGUGAGUGCAGCCAGCUGUCAGGUGCAGACUGUGGGAGUGCCCUGCUAGCAUGUGUGCUCUCUGACUCCAGGAGCGGCUGCUAGGGGUAUCACCACAGUUCAUAACUCUAGUCUCGGGAUCCUCUGGCCUCCAGGAGCAUUGCCUGCACAUGGUGCGCAAACAUACAUGCAGGUAAAAAACCCAUAUACAUAAAAAUAAAAAUAAAUAAAUGUGGGGCUGGAGAGAGAGUUCAGCAGUUAAGAGGCUGUUCUUCCAGAGGACCAGGGCUCAAUUGCCAGCACCUACAUAGCAGCUCACAACUAUCUGUACCUCCAGCUCCAUAGGACCUGGCUCUCUCAGGGACACAGACAAGCAUGUAGUCAAAACACCAGUGCACAAUUAAAACUAAUUUGAAAAAAUAAAAAAUAAACUAAUGAACAAAUC